rnacentral:misc_RNA from 1 species
GGAAUUGUAUCGCCUAUAGAAAGAGAACUGUUGUUACUAUUCCAGUGUUUCCUCUUAUUUGUUACAAGUGGUUGCUAUUAAAUGUCUUGUUACCCAAUUUAAUGAAAUUUUCUGUUGAUUUUUGAUAGAUUUUUAGAAAAAAACACACAAUCUUUAUAAUGUCAUUCUAUUAUUAUAUAGUUGAAUUGUACAUACAGUGUAUAUUAUAUAUUUUUUCAUGCUUUAACAUCUUUUUGUUUUAUAGAUGUCAGUACUUAUACUAAAUUAUAAAGGAACUUGUGCUAUUCAUCAUCGUAGAUAUCAUGUGACAUGCUGUAAUCGAGUCACGUGACAGUUUAGAUAUUUUAAAGAAUUACGCCAUUUGACAGUUGUCUGACAUCAUAGAUAUUCUGACAUUAUGUCCAAUUUUUUUUUUCAAGAUUUUUAGCACUUCAACAUCAUGAAGUUAAAGAUUAUAUUGUUGUGAACGCAUUUAAGAGGUCAUUUGUUCACUGUUCUAUCAGUAUAUUAUGUUCGGCAAAGCACAAAUAAAUCUUUUCUUUUUUC